rnacentral:rRNA from 1 species
UUGGAGGGCAAGUCUGGUGCCAGCAGCCGCGGUAAUUCCAGCUCCAAUAGCGUAUAUUAAAGUUGUUGCAGUUAAAAAGCUCGUAGUUGAACUUCGGGGUCUACCCAUUGGUCGGGCUUAAUUGUCUGUACUGGUGAGAUGGAUCUCUACCUUCUGAGGAACUUUCAUGUCAUUUAUUUGGUGUGAUGGGAAAUCAGGACUGUUACUUUGAAAAAAUUAGAGUGUUUAAAGCAGACUAUCGUCUGAAUACAUUAGCAUGGAAUAAUGAAAUAGGACGGACUGAUUCUAUUUCGUUGGUUUCUAGGAUCACCGUAAUGAUUAAUAGGGAUAGUUGGGGGCAUUAGUAUUCAAUUGUCAGAGGUGAAAUUCUUGGAUUUAUUGAAGACUAACUACUGCGAAAGCAUCUGCCAAGGAUGUUUUCAUUAAUCAAGAACGAAAGUUAGGGGAUCGAAGACGAUCAGAUACCGUCGUAGUCUUAACCAUAAACUAUGCCGACUAGGGAUCGGACGAAGUUAAUUUUAUAAUGACGCGUUCGGCGCCUUACGGGAAAC